rnacentral:tRNA from 1 species
GCAGGGGCUGGGGCUCAGCGGUAGAGUGCUUGCCUGGCACAUGUGAGGCACUGGGUUCAAUCCUCAGCACUGCA